rnacentral:tRNA from 1 species
GUCGAUAUAGCUCAGUUGGUAGAGCAUCUGCUUUGUAAACAGGUUGUCUCAGGUUCGACUCCUGAUAUCGGCA